AUGACGAGAGUGAAGAAUAGUUACUAUGUACUUCCAGGAGAACCUGAACUGAAGCGCACUGUGUCAAACACUCACAGCAUUGGGAAGGUAAUGUUCCUAACAGCUGUUGCCAGGCCUCAAUAUAACAAUGAGGGGGAGCUAACAUUCGAUGGGAAGAUCGGAAUUUGGGCAUUCGUCGAAGAGACUGAGGCGAAGCGGACAAGUCAGAACAGAACAAAGGGAACAAAAGUGUUGACAUCAGUGAAAGUAACCAGGCCCGUGUGCAGAGAUUAUCUAAUCAAUAAGGUUAUCCCGGCAAUUCAGGAUAAGUGGCCUGACGAUGAUGAGGGAGCAACAAUAUUCAUCCAAUAG
rnacentral:rRNA from 1 species